rnacentral:rRNA from 1 species
CCUACGGGAGGCAGCAGUGAGGAAUAUUGGUCAAUGGACGAGAGUCUGAACCAGCCAAGUAGCGUGAAGGAUGACUGCCCUAUGGGUUGUAAACUUCUUUUAUAUGGGAAUAAAAUGUUCCACGUGUGGGAUUUUGUAUGUACCAUAUGAAUAAGGAUCGGCUAAAUCCGUGCCAGCAGCCGCGGUAAUACGGAGGAGCCGAGCUUUAUCCGGAUUUAUUGGGUUUAAAGGGAGCGUAGGUGGAUUGUUAAGUCAGUUGUGAAAGUUUGCGGCUCAACCGUAAAAUUGCAGUUGAAACUGGCAGUCUUGAGUACAGUAGAGGUGGGCGGAAUUCGUGGUGUAGCGGUGAAAUGCUUAGAUAUCACGAAGAACUCCGAUUGCGAAGGCAGUUCACUGGACUGCAACUGACACUGAGGCUCGAAAGUGUGGGUAUCAAACAGGAUUAGAUACCCGGGUAGUC